UACGUAGGGUGCAAGCGUUGUCCGGAAUUAUUGGGCGUAAAGAGCUCGUAGGCGGUCUGUCGCGUCGAAUGUGAAAACCCGGGGCUCAACUCCGGGCUUGCAUUCGAUACGGGCAGGCUAGAGUUCGGUAGGGGAGUCUGGAAUUCCUGGUGUAGCGGUGAAAUGCGCAGAUAUCAGGAGGAACACCGAUGGCGAAGGCAGGUCUCUGGGCUGUAACUGACGCUGAGGAGCGAAAGCAUGGGGAGCGAACAGG
rnacentral:rRNA from 1 species